CAAAAUGUAUUACAAAAAUUUAGAAAAGCAGUGAAGUUUCAUUUAAAGAUUUUAAACUUUCAUGCUAUCAUCCCUAAAGGGGCUGGCCCUGCCCAAUCUCUGGUUCUGGUUCUUUAAAAAAAAAAAAAAAAGACAAGUAUUUUAAUUUUAAAAAAUGUAUCCAAUAACUCCUAGCAUUGCAAGCUUAGGAAUUCACUAGCAAUUAACUCUCAUUUCUCCUACUCUUCUCUUCUUCAGAUUUUACAAACAUAUAAACAAAACCUGUGGAAACUCUGAAUUAUUCACUAAACCAAAAACAUAACAAAAAGAUCCAAGAGGUGAAAAAGCAGUUUUCAUUGCUUGCAUAUCAUAAACAUGCCUUAUUUAAAAGCAUCUGGUAAGGUGUGGUUUUUUUUAACCAAAGGGGAAUGUAUUAAUGUGUUUCUAGGAAUGAUUUCUUUUAAACAAAAUUCCCCUAGACUCUCGAUGUCCCAGAGUUCACAGUGAACACUUCUACCCAUAUUUAAUUAACAAUAGGCAAGCUCUGUUUCAAAUUAGAUGUUACUUAAAACAAACUGUACCACUGUUCCCGGCGAUUUUCACCCCUAGAUAGAGUACUAGGCUUGGGGCUGUUGAUGCAAAGUAAACAGGCAGCAGGUAAUGGCUUCAUGCACUUAAGACUAGAACAGUACUUAAUCUUUAACUGGUACAAAAGUCAUACAACUUACAACUGCUGAAAUAUGUGUUGAAAUGUAUAUUAAGAAGCGAAGAGGGGCUGGGGAUAUGGCCUAGUGGCAAGAGAGCUUGCCUCGUAUACAUG